rnacentral:rRNA from 1 species
UACGUAGGGGGCAAGCGUUGUCCGGAUUUAUUGGGCGUAAAGAGCGUGUAGGCGGCCACACAGGUCAGCUGUGAAAACUCGAGGCUCAACCUCGAGACGUCGGUUGAAACCGUAUGGCUAGAGUCCGGAAGAGGAGAGUGAAUCCGGUCGGUAGCGGUGAAAUGCGUAGAGAUCGGGAGGAACACCAAGUGGCGAAGGGCGGCCGGCCUGGGGGUGACCGU